rnacentral:lncRNA from 1 species
AAAAGUAAGAUCGGUGUAGUGCGGAGCCCUGGGAGCGGAGCGGGGAUCUGGGGAGGGGGCGCCCAGGCCUCAGCCGCCGGCCGACAACCGGGCCACCUUCCGUGAGGCCGCACACGCUCCCACAGGCCCGCGCCUGGCGCAAGCCGAGAACCGCGCGUCGCCGCGCCGCGGGCCCGCGACGGAGGAAGCCCCGAGACGCGCGCGCUCACGGGCCCUACGCUUCCCCGCCGCC